CCGCAGGGUAGGAGCAGCCACAACAGUCGCCAGUGCUGCCUCAUCUACCGCCCUUCACGCCACCAUCCAUCCACCCGGUGAACUGGAGAGGCAGAUGAUGAGCGUCGCCUCGUAUCUUGGGGCUGGAUCCCGAUUCUGCCGCUCCACGGCAUGCCGUCUGCCUUUUCCUCCACCUUGUGUGGCUGCUCUGGUCGACCUCUUCCUCAUCGUAGGUGCUCAACAGGAGAAGCGCGAGCAGCCGGUGCAGCCGAGAGUUCGCCUGGUUGCAGCUCGACUUCAGGUAUACUAGAAGCUGAUGAGUCUCCAAUACGUUGUUGUUCUUAAUGAUAUGAAAGUGCAACCGUGUUUUUUGCUACAAGUUGAUGCAUAAUACUUUGCUUGCAGCCAACAUCAGCCUUUGUUGCUGUUACUGUCCCAUUUUGAGAACCAAAGAAAUACCGCCUUUCAGCUAGAUGUGUGUUAGGUGAAUGCUGCAGGCCAUUUUGUUCAUUGGCCCGGCAUGAUUUGGAUUGCAUCACCUACAGAGGUCUGUGUGAUUGAUGAGCUGGCUUAGGAAGGCACAGUCGAUUAUUAUUGCCUAUUUCUCCAUUGAAAGCUGCUACUUCUUUCAUCUUGGAAGGUACUUGUGUGUACAAUGGAUACUUUUAUUGUGAUUUUUCUUCUUUGUCAUGGAGAGUUUGAAACUACUAUACAUAUUAGUCUUUUGCGAUUUCACUUUCCUAAGCUCGAGCCGCAGCGUUGGUCCACGACGCCGGCACCAUCGUCGUCCGUAGUAAGAGUGUGGGCUACAGAGACGUCCAGCUCCGUCCGGCUCUCGCGCCACCGUCUGUCCACCCGAGAGUAGGAUAUGCAUUUGAUCCAGUCCAUGUCUUGGUCUCUUUUUGAAGUGUGUUUAGCCAUGUUCUUCCUACAUGUGUUCAAUCCAUCGGUAGCUAGCGGAUGUUGUGCUGUGACAAAGGUGCACUCCAGGAAAAAAUUAUUCUGCAAAGAAUCUUUAUCAACAAAGCGCAUAGGGAAGAUUGUCAGUGUCAGCGACCAAUUAUUUUGUUCAGCAGGUGUUCCCUUCAAAUGAGGCUCCAGCAAGGGGAUGCUAGCAGAUAUCAACCGGUUGGUUGAAUGUGUGCACAUUCUGUAAAGUCAACUUAAAGCUUCAGCAAGUGUGUUCAUUGUCCUCUCCAUUUCAAACAAACCAUCAGCUGGUUCUUUAAUAUUUUAUUACUUAAUCAUACUGUAGAAUUUGUUUCUUGGUGAUCUAAAACUUAUAGCCAUUAAGGGAAGCCCUUGGUUUGUAUUAGGUAAUUGUGCCAUUGGGUGGAACUGUAUGAAAAAUAGUGAGAGAAUGCUGGUAGAAAUUAGCAGUAAUGUAAUUACAUAGAGAGAAGGUACUCACAUGUCACAUCAUAUUUCCCCAUGCUCCUCUUCAAUUGCAACAACUAUUGAAUUUAGUUUUAGUUCAAGCAUCUUUUUUAUGCUGUCAA